GACGAACGCUGGCGGCGUGCUUAACACAUGCCAGUCGAACGGAAAGGCCCUGCUUUUGUGGGGUGCUCGAGUGGCCAACGGGUGAGUAACACGUGAGUAACCUGCCCUUGACUUUGGGAUAACUUCAGGAAACUGGGGCUAAUACCGGAUAGGAGCUCCUGCUGCAUGGUGGGGGUUGGAAAGUUUCGGCGGUUGGGGAUGGACUCGCGGCUUAUCAGCUUGUUGGUGGGGUAGUGGCUUACCAAGGCUUUGACGGGUAGCCGGCCUGAGAGGGUGACCGGCCACAUUGGGACUGAGAUACGGCCCAGACUCCUACGGGAGGCAGCAGUGGGGAAUAUUGCACAAUGGGCGGAAGCCUGAUGCAGCAACGCCGCGUGCGGGAUGACGGCCUUCGGGUUGUAAACCGCUUUCGCCUGUGACGAAGCGUGAGUGACGGUAAUGGGUAAAGAAGCACCGGCUAACUACGUG
rnacentral:rRNA from 1 species